UCCCUGGUGGCUCAGACAGUAAAGCGUCAGCCUACAAUGCAGGAGACCCAGGUUCAAUCCCUGGGUAGGGAA
rnacentral:tRNA from 1 species